CUCCUAGCGGCCUGGUAGUGUUUUUGUUGCCUUUUCUUAAUCUACAAUCUCUUCGUUAUUUUUCUUCCUGCGACCCAGUUUCGCUUGACCCUGGAGAGGCGGCGGGCGGGUUGGUUCUGCUUCUCAGCCAUCCCGGGGGCUCCUCGCUAGCCAAGAGCCGGUUCCCGGGAGCCGCGCGCGCAUCGCUUUCUCCUCGUCGUCGUCCUCCUGGGUCCAGGCGCGGGGACAGAGUCGCCUCCCCCGCUCCUCGGAGCGGCGGCGGCGGUGGUGCCUCCGGACUGCACUUGCGAAGGGAGCUUGGGGAGGAACAGUGAUAACGAUUUAGGUCCUGGGAAUUGAGUGCUACUUUAUCUUCACAAGCCUUAGUAGUACAAAAUGUCAAAAAUUAGAAGGAAGGUCACAGUGGAAAAUACCAAGACUAUAUCUGAUAGCACAUCCCGAAGACCCAGUGUAUUUGAGAGGCUUGGACCCAGCACUGGCAGUACAGCAGAGACACAGUGCCGUAACUGGCUGAAGACUGGCAACUGCCUCUAUGGAAACACAUGUAGAUUCGUACAUGGCCCUUCACCUCGUGGUAAAGGUUAUAGCAGCAAUUAUAGAAGGUCACCAGAAAGACCUACAGGGGAUCUUAGAGAAAGAAUGAAGAACAAGCGCCAAGACGUGGACACUGAGCCCCAGAAACGAAAUACAGAGGAGUCAUCCUCACCUGUUAGGAAAGAAUCUUCAAGAGGGAGACAUAGGGAAAAGGAAGACAUAAAAAUCACUAAGGAAAGAACUCCAGAAAGUGAAGAAGAAAAUGUAGAAUGGGAAACUAAUAGAGAUGAUUCUGACAAUGGAGAUAUUAAUUAUGAUUAUGUUCAUGAAUUGUCAUUGGAAAUGAAGCGUCAGAAGAUACAGAGGGAAUUAAUGAAGCUGGAACAAGAAAACAUG
rnacentral:lncRNA from 1 species